rnacentral:rRNA from 1 species
GCCUAACACAUGCAAGUCGAGCGGUAACACAGAGAGCUUGCUCUCGGGUGACGAGCGGCGGACGGGUGAGUAAUGUCUGGGAAACUGCCUGAUGGAGGGGGAUAACUACUGGAAACGGUAGCUAAUACCGCAUAACGUCUUCGGACCAAAGUGGGGGACCUUCGGGCCUCAUGCCAUCAGAUGUGCCCAGAUGGGAUUAGCUAUAGUGGGGUAAUGGCUCACCUAGCGACG